rnacentral:sRNA from 1 species
GCUAAUUCCGACAUAGGUACCUCUCAUAAUGCAACGUUUGCCGAAAGGCAAACUCGGCAGAUAAACAGUGAGGCUGAAUUUCUGCCGAACUGUUUAUCACAC